AGCGAACGCUGGCGGCAGGCCUAACACAUGCAAGUCGAGCGGCCGUAGCAAUACGGCAGCGGCAGACGGGAGAGUAACACGUGGGUACGCGCCCUUCGGUUCGGGAUAACUCAGGGAAACUUGGGCUAAUACCGGAUACGCCCUUACGGGGAAAGAUUAUUGCCGAAGGAACGGCCCGCGUCCGAUUAGCUUGUUGGUGAGGUAACGGCUCACCAAGGCGACGAUCGGUAGCUGGUCUGAGAGGAUGACCAGCCUCACUGGGACUGAGACACGGCCCAGACUCCUACGGGAGGCAGCAGUGGGGAAUAUUGGACAAUGGGCGCAAGCCUGAUCCAGCCAUGCCGCGUGGGUGAUGAAGGCCCUAGGGUUGUAAAGCCCUUUCAGCGGGGAAGAUAAUGACGGUACCCGCAGAGGAAGCCCCGGCUAACUUCGUGCCAGCCGCCGCGGUAAAAC
rnacentral:rRNA from 1 species